AUUGAACGCUGGCGGCAUGCUUUACACAUGCAAGUCGAACGGCAGCGCGGGCUUCGGCCUGGCGGCGAGUGGCGAACGGGUGAGUAAUGCAUCGGAACGUGCCCAGUAGUGGGGGAUAGCCCGGCGAAAGCCGGAUUAAUACCGCAUACGACCUGAGGGUGAAAGCGGGGGACCGAAAGGCCUCGCGCUAUUGGAGCGGCCGAUGUCGGAUUAGCUAGUUGGUGGGGUAAAGGCUUACCAAGGCGACGAUCCGUAGCUGGUCUGAGAGGACGACCAGCCAAACUGGGAAUGAGAAACGGCCCAGACCCCCAAGGGAGGCAGCAGUGGGGAAUUUUGGAAAAUGGGGGCAACCCUGAUCCAGCCAUGCCGCGUGCGGGAAGAAGGCCUUCGGGUUGUAAACCGCUUUUGUUCGGGAAGAAAUCCUCUGGGCUAAUACCCCGGGGGGAUGACGGUACCGGAAGAAUAAGCACCGGCUAACUACGUG
rnacentral:rRNA from 1 species